rnacentral:rRNA from 1 species
GACGAACGCUGGCGGCGUGCUUAACACAUGCAAGUCGAACGGACAGGCCCUGAUUUUGUGGGGUGCUUGAGUGGCGAACGGGUGAGUAACACGUGAGUAACCUGCACUUGACUUUGGGAUAACUUCUGGAAAAUGGGGCUCAUACCGGAUAGGAGAUCCUGCUGCAUGGUGGGGGUUAGAAAGUUUCGGUGGUUGGGGAUGGAAUCGCGGCUUAUCAGCUUGUUUGUGGGGUAGUGGCUUACCAAGGCUUUGACGGCUAGCCGGCCUGAGAGGGUGACCGGCCACAUUGGGACUGAGAGACGGCCCAGACGCCUACGGUAGGCAGCAGUGGGGAAUAUUGCAGAAUGGGCGGAAGCCUGAUGCAGCAACGCCGCGUGCGUGAUGACGUCCUUCGGGUUGUAAACCGCUUUCGCCGGUGACGAAGCGUGAGUGACGGUAAUGGGUAAAGAAGCACCGGCUAACUACGUG